AUUGAACGCUGGCGGCAGGCCUAACACAUGCAAGUCGAACGAGUGGCGGACGGGUGAGUAAUGUCUUGGAAACUGCCUGAUGUAGGGGGAUAACUACUGGAAACGGUAGCUAAUACCGCAUACCAUCGAAUGUGCCCAGAUGGGAUUCGCUAGUUGGUGGGGUAAAGGCUCACCUAGGCGACGAUCCCUAGCUGGUCUGAGAGGAUGACCAGCCACACAGGGACUGAGACACGGUCCAGACUCCUACGAGAGGCAGCAGUGGGGAAUAUUGCACAAUGGGCGCAAGCCUGAUGCAGCCAUGCCGCGUGUGAGAAGAAGGCCUUCGGGUUGUAAAGCACGUUCAGAGAGGAGGCGUUACUCGAAGAAGAAGCACCGGCUAACGCAGUGCCAGCAGCCGCGGUAAUUC
rnacentral:rRNA from 1 species